rnacentral:rRNA from 1 species
GACGAACGCUGGCGGCGUGCCUAAUACAUGCAAGUUGAGCGCUGAAGGUUGGUACUUGUACCAACUGGAUGAGCAGCGAACGGGUGAGUAACGCGUGGGGAAUCUGCCUUUGAGCGGGGGACAACAUUUGGAAACGAAUGCUAAUACCGCAUAAAAACUUUAAACACAAGUUUUAAGUUUGAAAGAUGCAAUUGCAUCACUCAAAGAUGAUCCCGCGUUGUAUUAGCUAGUUGGUGAGGUAAAGGCUCACCAAGGCGAUGAUACAUAGCCGACCUGAGAGGGUGCUCGGCCACUUUGGGACUGAGACACGGCCCAAACUCCUACGGGAGGCAGCAGUAGGGAAUCUUCGGCAAUGGACGAAAGUCUGACCGAGCAACGCCGCGUGAGUGAAGAAGGUUUUCGGAUCGUAAAACUCUGUUGGUAGAGAAGAACGUUGGUGAGAGUGGAAAGCUCAUCAAGUGACGGUAACUACCCAGAAAGGGACGGCUAACUACGUG